UAACCUGUCCUUGGGUCCGGCAUAACCCCGGGAAACUGGGGAUAAUUCCGGAUAACGCACAUAUGCUGGAAUGCUUUAUGCGUAAAAUGGAUUCGUCUGCCCAAGGAUGGGUCUGCGGCCUAUCAGGUAGUAGUGGGUGUAAUGUACCUACUAGCCUACGACGGGUACGGGUUGUGAGAGCAAGAGCCCGGAGAUGGAUUCUGAGACAUGAAUCCAGGCCCUACGGGGCGCAGCAGGCGCGAAAACUUUACAAUGCGGGAAACCGUGAUAAGGGGACACCGAGUGCCAGCAUCCUAUGCUGGCUGUCCGGGUGUGUAAAAUACACCUGUUACAAGGGCCGGGCAAGACCGGUGCCAGCCGCCGCGGUAACACCGGCGGCUCGAGUGGUAACCGUUAUUAUUGGGUCUAAAGGGUCUGUAGCCGGCCGGAUAAGUCUCUUGGGAAAUCUGGCAGCUUAACUGUCAGGCUUUCAGGAGAUACUGUCUGGCUCGAGGCCGGGAGAGGUGAGAGGUACUUCAGGGGUAGGGGUGAAAUCUUGUAAUCCUUGAAGGACCACCAGUGGCGAAGGCGUCUCACCAGACCGGACCUGACGGCAAGGGGCGAAAGCUAGGGGCACGAACCGGAUUAGAUACCCGGGUAGUCCUAGCCGUAAACGAUACUCGCUAGGUGUCGGCCACGGUGCGACCGUUGUCGGUGCCGUAGGGAAGCCGUGAAGCGAGCCACCUGGGAAGUACGGCCGCAAGGCUGAAACUUAG
rnacentral:rRNA from 1 species